CCAUCUAUUCUUCCCUCUGAUCCAUAUGAUCGUGCUAUUGCAAAAUUUUGGGGCACCUAUGUCGAUGAGAAGGUAUAUUGCAAGAUUUUAUUGCAAGAUCUUGCUUCAGCAGCUCAUCCAAACAUGCAUUUAUUCUUCAUUUCUCUGCUUACAAUUGAACUAUUUUGAUUUUUUGCAGUGGUUUCCAAAUUUGAGAAUCCUUUUAACUGCUGAAGGAGAGGCAAAAGAUCAUGUUAUAGGGACAAUAGUUGAUGGGC
rnacentral:misc_RNA from 1 species